GCUGUAUUAGUUGGAUUUUAUUUCUGGUCACCAGACAAUGAAAUUAGAAAUCAAUUAACAUGAUUGGACAAAAUUAGCUCAUCUUUUGGAUUUCCUUUGUUCCUACGUUCCUUUUCAUUUUUAUGUAAACUUCAAAAUAUCAACGAACUUCAAGUAAGACAAACCUAUAUGUUAUCAAUUGCUUUGGUUACUCGAAGACUAUUUAGUGAACUGAUUAAAAGCUUCUUUCGAUCUAAAACAACCAUAAACUCAAAACAUACAAUUAUCACUGCAUUGUCGCCCACAUUCACAAGCAAAGAAGAUGAUCUGUGUGUUUUGAUGCUUAAACUUUGACUGGAUUAGUGGAGCUCCAUUUAACUUCUAUAUCACCAGGUAUGUCAUAGGCAUCCAAUUAAGCACUUGAAAUAGAUAACAAUUUGAUCAAUGAUCCACAAAAUUUUAACUAGAACAGAAAAACAAACAAGUGCAAAUACUAAACACCUACCAACAUUCCUGAAAUCAGAUGUACGCUUCCUUUCUGAAAUUAGACGAGUUUGAGUAAUCCAUCAGAUUCAGACGUGAUCUUACAAAGCUCGGAUAGAAAUGAUAGAAUUCGUCCGUAGAAGCAUCCGACAGUCUACCUCUUGAGGGUCGCCAUAGAUGCAAUAGAACGCCACCUUCACGGCUUCACCCGUACCUAAACACAGCAUUUUGUACAUAGAGAAUCCCCUCGAACUCUGUUUAAUGAGUGCAAGUGAACUAAUUGAUUUAAAUUAGCAAUUAAAGUGACGACCGUAUGAAUUGCAAAAUUAUGGAGAAAUUUUGAAUAAAUGCAAUUAUCCAAACGGUUGUAUUCUGGUACUUCUUGAGAUUAUG
rnacentral:lncRNA from 1 species